AUUGAACGCUGGCGGCAUGCUUUACACAUGCAAGUCGAACGGUAACAGGCCGCAAGGUGCUGACGAGUGGCGAACGGGUGAGUAAUGCAUCGGAACGUGCCCAGUCGUGGGGGAUAACUACUCGAAAGAGUAGCUAAUACCGCAUACGAUCUAUGGAUGAAAGCGGGGGACCGUAAGGCCUCGCGCGAUUGGAGCGGCCGAUGUCAGAUUAGGUAGUUGGUGGGGUAAAGGCUCACCAAGCCAACGAUCUGUAGCUGGUCUGAGAGGACGACCAGCCACACUGGGACCGAGACACGGCCCAGACUCCUACGGGAGGCAGCAGUGGGGAAUUUUGGACAAUGGGCGCAAGCCUGAUCCAGCAAUGCCGCGUGCAGGAAGAAGGCCUUCGGGUUGUAAACUGCUUUUGUACGGAACGAAACGGCUCUGGUUAAUACCCGGGGCUAAUGACGGUACCGUAAGAAUAAGCACCGGCUAACUACGUG
rnacentral:rRNA from 1 species